rnacentral:rRNA from 1 species
GACAGAGGGUGCGAACGUUGUUCGGAAUUACUGGGCGUAAAGCGCGUGUAGGCGGCAGCGCAAGUCGGGCGUGAAAUCCCACGGCUCAACCGUGGAAGUGCACUCGAAACUGCGCAGCUAGAGUCCUGGAGAGGGAAGGUGGAAUGCUUGGUGUAGGAGGUGAAAUUCGUAGAUAUCAAGCGGAACACCGGUGGACGAAGGCGGCCU